rnacentral:tRNA from 1 species
GAGGUUGUGGUUCAGUGGUAGAGUGCUUGCCUGGCAUGCAUGAGGCACUGGGUUCAAUCCUCAGCACCACA